rnacentral:rRNA from 1 species
GUGGGGAAUUUUGCGCAAUGGGGGAAACCCUGACGCAGCAACGCCGCGUGAGUGAUGAAGGCCUUCGGGUCGUAAAGCUCUGUCAGAGGGGAAGAAGUGUGGGGUGGCUAAUAUCCAUUUCACUUGACGGUACCUUCAAAGGAAGCACCGGCUAACUCCGUGCCAGCAGCCGCGGUAAUACGGAGGGUGCGAGCGUUGUUCGGAAUUAUUGGUCGUAAAGCGCGUGUAGGCGGUGUUUUAAGUCUGAUGUGAAAGCCCUGGGCUCAACCCGGGAAGUGCAUUGGAAACUGGGAUACUUGAAUACGGGAGAGGGCAGUGGAAUUCCUGGUGUAGGAGUGAAAUCCGUAGAUAUCAGGAGGAACACCGGUGGCGAAGGCGGCUGCCUGGACCGAUAUUGACGCUGAGACGCGAAAGCGUGGGGAGCAAACAGGAUUAGAUACCCGUGUAGUCC